UACGUAGGGUGCAAGCGUUGUCCGGAAUUAUUGGGCGUAAAGAGCUCGUAGGCGGUUCGUCGCGUCGGCUGUGAAAACCCGAGGCUCAACCUCGGGCCUGCAGUCGAUACGGGCGGACUGGAGUUCGGCAGGGGAGACUGGAAUUCCUGGUGUAGCGGUGAAAUGCGCAGAUAUCAGGAGGAACACCGGUGGCGAAGGCGGGUCUCUGGGCAAUAACUGACGCUGAGGAGCGAAAGCGUGGGGAGCGAACAGG
rnacentral:rRNA from 1 species